rnacentral:rRNA from 1 species
UAGGGAAUUUUCGUCAAUGGGCGCAAGCCUGAACGAGCAAUGCCGCGUGAACGAGGAAGGUCUUCGGAUCGUAAAGUUCUGUUGAAGGGGAAAAAGAGCGGAGAGAGGAAAUGGUCUCCGAUUGAUAUUACCCUUCGAGGAAGUCACGGCUAACUACGUGCCAGCAGCCGCG